rnacentral:rRNA from 1 species
CAGGAAACCCCUGACAGUGUGGUGGAACCAUCUUUCUGUGGUUCUUACACUGAAUCUGAGCCGACGUGCAUGAUGCAUCAUCAGAGGCCGAAGAAGAUGGUGGCUUUUGAAGGUGCUUUGACUGGGAGGCAUUUCCUGGGUUGUCCUAUGCAGCAGGAUGAAGGUGUGAACUGUGGGGUUGUGGAGUGGGUUGAUGGUCCUUGGCCAGAGAUUCUACAAAGGUGCCUAACCAGGAUUUGGGACAUGUAUCAUGAGCAGAACUUGGGGAGGGUGAAUGACAAACAAGCCCAUGAGAAAGAGGUGGCCAAGCUACAGAAGGAAAUUGAUUUCCUGUCAAACAACUACAUC